AUUGAACGCUGGCGGCAUGCCUUACACAUGCAAGUCGAACGGCAGCACGGGAGCAAUCCUGGUGGCGAGUGGCGAACGGGUGAGUAAGGCAUCGGAACGUGCCCAGUCGUGGGGGAUAACGUAGCGAAAGCUACGCUAAUACCGCAUACGAUCUGUGGAUGAAAGCGGGGGACCGUAAGGCCUUGCGCGAUUGGAGCGGCCGAUGUCAGAUUAGGUAGUUGGUGGGGUAAAGGCUCACCAAGCCGACGAUCUGUAGCUGGUCUGAGAGGACGACCAGCCACACUGGGACUGAGACACGGCCCAGACUCCUACGGGAGGCAGCAGUGGGGAAUUUUGGACAAUGGGCGCAAGCCUGAUCCAGCAAUGCCGCGUGCAGGAUGAAGGCCUUCGGGUUGUAAACUGCUUUUGUACGGAGCGAAAAGGCUUCCACUAAUACUGGGGGCUAAUGACGGUACCGUAAGAAUAAGCACCGGCUAACUCUGUGCCAGCAGCCGCCGUAA
rnacentral:rRNA from 1 species